GACGCCCUAUUAACUGUCAGGGUGGCCUCCGCCAAGUCCAUCAUCCUGCCUGAAGUGGUGCUCAGUCUGAGUUAUAAGGCUGCAUCUAGAAAUGGAACUGGAAAAUAGCCUAUCACUGAGUUUAUUUCCCAUGGAAAAAAAGUCAGGAUUAUUUUAGCAAGAAAGGAGGGUGACAGCCAUUAGUCCCUUCCUUUGGAGUAACUGAGGAGCAGGUGGCAGAAGGACUCAGUCAUGGCCUCCUGCUGAUGGUAGCAGAGCUGAAUCUUCACACAGCGUCCUGGACUCUGUGGCCAAGCUUGGGAUCAUGUCAAUCCACAUUCUCCAUCGUGGCUUCCGGGCAGCAUUUUUCCCAAGAUGCUUUGCAAAUUAUGAAGGGCUGAGUAAUCCAAUAAGAGAAAGACUUGCCCUACUUAACCUCUAUCUUGACGAUUCCUUGCGCCCAGUAACAUGUCAGAAUCUCUAAGACCUACGGUAAAGAAUGUGUUUUAUAACAUUGAACUAGUAGUUCCCGAAAUGUAUUUGGACAGCACGUAUUUACCAUCUGGGCCUCUCGAGCUCCACAAAAAAAGCUCUGGCAAUGCUGCCCCAAGCAGGACAGCCCCAGCCACCCCACCGCUGGCACGAGCAUCUGCGAGCAGGUAAUUAGCCCCACACAGGCGCUGUGCUUCUGCUGCGUUCCUCCCCGCCUUCCACUCAGGUGGUGCGAUUCCUUCUCCAGUUAAUGAAGAA